GCCUCUAAAGCUCAGUUGCAUGGUUAGAGCGCUGCACCGGAAUCGCAGGUUCAAUUCCUGCCAGGGACG